UUCCGGUUGAUCCCGCCGGACCCCACUGCUAUCGGGAUAGGACUAAGACAUGCUAGUCGCGUGCUUCAGCCAAAACGAGGCACGGCACACAGCUCAGUAACACGUGGCUAAUCUGCCCUUGGGAUAGGAAUACCCCCGGGAAACUGGGGCUAAUUCCCAAUAGGUGAAGAACUCUGGAAUGAGUCUCCACCAGAAAAGAGCUUACGUUAUGCUCGUAAGUUUCGCCCAAGGAUGAGGCCGCGACCGAUCAGGUUGUUGGCGAGGUAAUGGCUCACCAAGCCUUUUACCGGUGCGGGCCGUGGGAGCGGGAGCCCGGAGAUGGGUACUGAGACAAGGACCCAGGCCCUACGGGGCGCAGCAGUCGUGAAAACUUUGCAAUAAGCGCAAGCUUGACAGGGCUAUCCCGAGUGCCAUCCGCUGAGGAAGGCUUUUACCCAGUCUAGAACGCUGGGGGAAUAAGGAGAGGGCAAGUCUGGUGUCAGCCGCCGCGGUAAUACCAGCUCUCCGAGUGGUGUGGAUGUUUAUUGGGCCUAAAGCAUCCGUAGCUGGCUAAGUUAGUCCCCUGUUAAAUCCACCGAAUUAAUCGUUGGAUCGCGGGGGAUACUGCUUGGCUAGGGGACGAGAGAGGCAGACGGUAUUUUCGGGGUAGGGGUGAAAUCCUAUAAUCCCGGGAAGACCACCAGUGGCGAAGGCUGUCUGCUAGAACGCGCCCGACGGUGAGGGAUGAAAGCUGGGGGAGCGAACCGGUUUAGAUACCCGGGUAGUCCCAGCUGUAAACGAUGCAGACUAGGUGUUUGGACGGCCACGUGCCGUUCUAGUGCCGCAGGGAAAGCUGUUAAGUCUGCCGCCUGGGGAGUACGAUCGCAGAUUG
rnacentral:rRNA from 1 species